rnacentral:rRNA from 1 species
AGAGAGAGACAUGCGCGCAUAUCAAUAAGCGGAGGAAAAGAAACUAACAAGGAUUCCCUUAGUGACGGCGAGUGAAGCGGGUAAGAGCUCAAAUUUGAAAUCUUCAAGGUUUUACCUUGACGAAUUGUAGUUUAAAGAAGUGUUUUCUGCUGAAGUUUUGGUAAAAGUUCUUUGGAAUAGGACAUCAUAGAGGGUGAGAAUCCCGUAUUUGACCAUUAUUUUCAGCUUUGUGAUACACUUUCAAAGAGUCGGAUUGUUUGGGAAUGCAGUCCGAAAUGGGUGGUAAAUUUCAUCUAAAGCUAAAUAUUGGCGAGAGACCGAUAGCGAACAAGUACCGUGAGGGAAAGAUGAAAAGAACUUUGAAAAGAGAGUUAAACAGUACGUGAAAUUGUCAAAAGGGAAGCGUUUGACACCAGUGUUGUUUUCUCGAAAAUCAAUUAAAAAUGGCUCGAUUUUGUAUUGCUGAGACCUUAAAAGCUCACUGUACAUUUUUCGUGUCUUUUUUAAUGCACUUUUCGUUUAACAAGUCAACAUCAGUUUCUUUUGUUGUAAAAGGGUCAUUGGAAGGUGGCUUUCUUUUCGGAGAAAGUGUUUAUAGCCUUUGGCCUCUGCAAUCGGAAGAGACUGAGGUCUGCAGCGUAGACUCUUCGGGGUUAGAUACAUUUGUGCUAAGUUACAGCUUUUUAUAGACAACUUGUUGACUAUAAUUAGUCUUGUAGCUUACUCGCUUAUGCUAUUUUACCUACGCUUAGGAUGUUGAGUCGUAGAGCACGCAG